rnacentral:piRNA from 1 species
UGUUAACGGGUCAGAGAGCUUAUUCUG